UCUAUUUCAAGACGGUGCAAAAUAUAUUUGAAACCCCCGGAUGACCUUCGUAGAGUAAACGAAAUUUGUUGAUUAUAUUUUUGUGCUCGAUAUUUCAAAAUUCUGGUUCAUCGCUCUCUGAUUUGGAUUUUGUGUGUUGUUUAUGUCUAUGCAUUUACUGGUGUCGGUCUGAUUGAGGUAGGAAGAUGAGGCCAAUUAUAACGUGGGAGGAGGGUUCGAAAGUUGUGGAAGAAUGUUGUGAGAAAGCUAGGAUGAUACUCGAUGGAUAUCAACCUGGGGUGCUGUUCACAUCUGAGGAUUAUAUCAAAUAUUAUGACUGUGUCUACCACAUGUCUGUACAGCCAGAUCCAUAUAGUUACGCAGUGCAGCUUCGCGCAAGGUUUUUGAGAGCUCUAGCUGAAGGCAUUACUAUGAGGGUGCUGCCAUCUUUAUGGAAUAAAAUAGAUUCUUCUCUUUUGCUAGAACUUACAAACAUGUGGGCAAGGUACAAAAAAAUGGCGAGCUGCCUUGCAGGAAUUUUUCAUUAUCUGGAACGGGGUUAUAAUGGCAACUCUCUUAUCCAGACUUCAGCUCACUGUUUUCAUGACUUGGUCUGUGCUGAACAUUAUCAGAAGUUUCAAGCUGCUGCAAUUUCUCUGAAUCACAAGGAUCGUGACGAGGAAUCACCCGUUAUCAGGGAAUUGUUACAGAAUGUGUCCACUUUUUUUGUUGAUAUGGGACUUGGAAAGAAGUUCUAUUACAACAACUUCGAGAAGGCAUUACUAGCAGAUACAGCCAGCUACUAUUCUCAGUUAGCUUCACGAUGGCGUAUGUGUAAUUCAUUUACAGUAUAUGUUCAGAAGACUUCACUGUGUCUGACCAAGGAGAAAGCCAGAGCUAGCCAGUUUCUUUACCAGGACUCAGUAGAGAAAUUGUUACAGGUUGCGCAGUCGCAAAUGCUGAAUCAGGUGGCAAAUCAAUUGCUUGAAAUGAAAAAAGCGGAGAUCAGUAACGGGUCAGAUCCAGUUGAGGAGUUACUUUCUUUAUGUGCAAGCUUAAACCUUGAGGACGGAAGCUCAUCAAUGUGUUGAAAAGGUUUCCUUUAGUUUUCAAUUUUCAGGAAUCUACAUCUAACCUCUCUUGUCAAAAAAAAUUGUACAUGAUCAGUAAGGAAAUUGGAGCUCUGGGAUAUUACAUGCUUGGUGUCAAUUUUGUGAAUUGCAAAUUUGCAUUGAUCAAUUGUGUAAAAGACUACCCUGUGAAGCUUAGCAACCAUAUUUUAAAGUUGGUACGAGCAGACAGCAGUAGAACCUCUGGCAUUGUACAGAGCAGUUCAUUUUUUAUAAGAAGAACUUGUGCAUCAAUAGAAGAAUUUCUGGAAUGCAUCCUACCACGAGCAUUGAUUAACCUUUAGGAUUAAACAAAGCAGGACGAGGCUCAUAACUAAACCAAGACAUUUAACAUAAUAUUCCAAGACAGUUAUGAUGGAGAAGUAGUGCUGAGAAGCAGCAUGGCACGGUAAAAAUUAUUUUUGAUAAUGGGGUUCAGUGCUUGGACAACGUUACAGAUGUAUGCAACAUGCGAGUAGUAAGCCAUGAAUUAAACUGAUGGAUGAUGAUGUUACCAUCACAGUCAAUGGACUGAUGAGUUUGUUUAGCAAAACUUGAUCUGUAGUUUGAUGUGCCUUGAAGGGAAGCGAUGUACAAGACUACAGAUCCAGGAUUGAUUGUUUGCUAAGAUACCAUCCCCUAGAUGUCAUCACCCACCUCUAGAUCCAGGAUCGAUUAUUUGAUUAUUUGCUAAUGCUGCACUAGCCAAUUUGGAGGUGAGGUUGUUAGACAACUCUGCUGCCAGGAAUGGAGUUGUUGCUAGGCUGCUAGCAACCGCAAAUUGGACUUGGCAGUUUGCAAUGCAGCAAGACUGCUCUUUGUGAAGGAUCCUGAUAAUGGGGUUGAAUGAGGACUUGGUGGCAUGAUUCUAUUCUUCAAAUCAAGUCCCGGUCUGCUACUUGUUUCUGUGCUCUGCAGGGACAUGAAUUCCUCCUGUUUGUUACACAAGUUGUUUUGAGGUGAUAAACUGUGAUUUUAAUACUGUGAAUGUUACAAAUUAUAAUACUCUGCACUUGUAAACUUGUUUUACAAGUUGUUUUUAUUUUCAAA